rnacentral:rRNA from 1 species
GACGAACGCUGGCGGCGUGCUUAACACAUGCAAGUCGAACGCUGAAGCCCUUUCGGGGGUGGCUGAGUGGCGAACGGGUGAGGAACACGUUGGUAAUCUGCCCUGUACAUCGGGCUAAGCCUUGGAAACGGGGUCUAACACCGGGUAGGACCUGUCUGCGCAUGGGGGUGGGGGGAAAGUUCCGCCGGUAGCGGAUGAGCCCGCGGCCUAUCAGCUGGUUGGUAGGGUAGUGGCCUACCAAGGCGACGACGGGUAGCAGGCCUGAGAGGGUGACCCGUCACACUGGGAAUGAGACACGGCCAAGACUCCUACGGGAGGCAGCAGUGGGGAAUCUUGCGCAAUGGGCGAAAGCCUGACGCAGCAACGCCGCGUGGGGGAUGACGGCCUUAGGGUUGUAAACCUCUUUCGACAUCGACGAAGGGGCCCUGUUGUGGGGUUUUGACGGUAGGUGUAGAAGAAGCACCGGCUAACUACGUGCCAGCCGCCGCUGUAA